rnacentral:lncRNA from 1 species
UUUUUGUUUGUAUGUCUUCAGGGAAAAAUUUGUACCGAUCUUGUCUCAUUCAUUAUGCUGCUACAACAGUAAUAGCAUCAAAUGUAGCAAUUGUUUGCUAUAAUUCUGUUAACUACCACUUUGAAGAGGUUUUACUGCAAAAUGACAAACUGGAUUGUUCAAAUCAAACAGCUGCAUUAUUGGUCUAUUAUUCUACAAAAUUGUACCUUGAACCGACUGAAAUUGAAAAUGCUCUUCAAUGCAUACUUGUACUCAAAGAAAUUUUCUCCGAAAGCCAUGGUAUCAAAAACUAUGAUAUUACAACAUCCACUCAUAACAUGCAUAACACACGCUAUAACAUAUUGUGUGUCUUUUUAUCUUCUGUGGUUUUAAUUUUUCCUUAUUUUUUGUUCAAAAUAUUGCUUUUUGAAAAUAGAAAGAUCGGUAACAAUCUCUAUCUUUUUCAGGCAUGCGCAUUUGCAAUCGUCAAAUUAGCAAUGUAUAUAGUUUUAAUUAAAUGUUUUCACCUUCUUGCAGUGAAAGGUACUUACUACUCAAAAAUACUAAAACACCUCUUAAAUAAAGUCAUUACUAGGUUUUAUUUAGUGCUUUCGGAGCUGAAAUAUACUGUGUACUAAAUUUUGCUGCAUCAGUAAGCGUAGCGGGAAAAGUAAGUUUGCAGUAAAUAAUGUUUUACAGUUCAUAACAACCUAUGUACAAACUGUUUUAAUCCUGCAGAUAAAAGAUUAUGAAAUAAUAGAUGAUCGUCAAAAUGCAAUGUCAAUAUCAGGAACAUUUUUAUUCCUGUCCUUUGUUAAUUUUGGACUCUGGUUAUACGACACUUUCCUUGCUGCUGAGCACUUUUAUAAGCUUUUUUAUACAGCCCAAUUUUAUGGAUACACAACAACAAUGAUACUAAUACAUUUAUUUUUGCAAAUUUUGAUAUUCUAUCGAUCUCUAUCGUUUCAAAUGUUUCAUUACAUUUUUUGAACUAUCUGCUUUUACAUCGCCAUUCGUAGAACGGGUUCUUUCAUUUGUUGACAAAGUUAGUACGAUAAUAUGCAUCCGAAGACGUCAAAAUUAUUAGCAAAUAUAACAACUGCUAUAUUGUCAUAUAGCUUGUCAAAUUGUUUUUGGUUCUUUUACAUUUCUGACUUUCAAACAUUUAAUUUCGAGAUUUCUUGGUGAAAGUAAUAAAAAAAAACAUUGCUCCGGAAAUAUGAAUGUAUAAAGUUUUACCGAUAAUAAAUUCAUUGAGAUGGUCGUAAUUAUAUUUUAAAUAUUUUGAUACCUUGAAUAUAUGAAAUACUAAGGCUUUUAUACCCCAGGAAUAGAUUACUUGAGAUGUAUUUGGCAAAACUUUUAUGAAUUUUUGUAUGCUCUUUAAGUCCUUUCUUUUUUCGGCUUUCAACAUUUUUUUAUUCUAGCGUCACUGUUUACUCUUUUCUAGACAAAUCAAAAGUAUGGUAAAAAU